rnacentral:rRNA from 1 species
CCUACGGGAGGCAGCAGUCGAGAAUCAUUCACAAUGGGGGAAACCCUGAUGGUGCGACGCCGCGUGGGGGAAUGAAGGUCUUCGGUUUGUAAACCCCUGUCAUGUGGGAGCAAAUUAACAAGAUCGUAUCACAAGAGGAAGAGACGGCUAACUCUGUGCCAGCAGCCGCGGUAAUACAGAGGUCUCAAGCGUUGUUCGGAAGCACUGGGCGUAAAGCGUGCGUAGGCUGUUUCGUAAGUCGUGUGUGAAAGGCGCGGGCUCAACCCGCGGACGGCACAUGAUACUGCGAGACUAGAGUAAUGGAGGGGGAACCGGAAUUCUCGGUGUAGCAGUGAAAUGCGUAGAUAUCGAGAGGAACACUCGUGGCGAAGGCGGGUUCCUGGACAUUAACUGACGCUGAGGCACGAAGGCCAGGGGAGCGAAAGGGAUUAGAUACCCCAGUAGUC